GGUGGGAGUGCUGGGUCUUCCAGGAGCGCGCUUGCGUGUGAGGGUGACUCCAGGCGGCCUGCUGGUAGGUCAUGUCCGCAGGCUUCAAUCCAGCGGCCGCCACCCAUAAGCUACCAGGAAAAGCUUUACCUCCACCUGGACUACUAUACCUGCCUGACUUCCCGGCCUGCGGGGUCCGCGCAGCAAAGACUUGACGCUACUGGAGCAGGCGCUGUGCACCUACUGGCUGGCGCCUGGUGGGUACCAGCGCAAGGUCGCCCAGAAGCUCCUCAGUGGCCGCCGCAAGUGCCAGCCAGCACCAGCUGCAGCCCCGGCGGCGAACUCGCCUCAGCUGAGCCUAGAUGCCAGUGUUCUCUUCUUUUCUCAUAUGGGAAAAUUCCUUUGAAACUCAUUUGAAGCAUGGACAAAAACUCCACAGCUGUAUUCCUCAGGAUCACUUUGCAGAAUCUUCAAGACUCAGAGAGGAAGCUUCAAUUCAACCUUUCAGGGAAGGCAUUCCAGCUCACAUGAUCUCAUCAACCAAGAUAAUGUUGGUGGCAAUCACAGCGCUGAAAGGGGGACAAAAAUUAGAUGGCUCAGAUGAUUAAAAGCCCUGAUUCGACUUAACUUCCCACUUCCAACUAAGCUGCACACAUUACAUCCAAUUAAAUUUCCCCCUUCCCCUCUACACAUCAGAGGGUUAGUUUGGUUUCCGUACUUUCAGCUGAUUACAUUGUUCAUGGGGGAAAAGAAGCAACUAAACAGGACACACCAAAUGAAAAGAGUAUGAUGAUUCUCUAACAGUUUACAGUUUUCAGUUUCCCAAACUUACCAGGAGUGGAUGAAGCUGUUUCUUUACACAAUUGUUAUCCCGUAAUGCCUACUUCUGCUGCUACCACUGGCUCACCUAGAAGGCAACCAAACCUUAAAAUAAGUUCAGUCAAUAAGAACCAACGAUAUUGUGUGAUUGUGUGUGGCUUUGCUUAUCACUGAUGACUCAAUUCCGCCAGUAUUAACUAUGAGAAUUCAAAGCUUCUCUGUUAGCCCAGUUUUCUACUCUGAACCAUGAACCCUGUCCACAAUAUUUGAGGAGUGUCUGACUUCUACUUAGAAGACCUGAACAUCCCUCUCUUCUGGAUACAUUUCUGUUUACCCAUAGUAAAGUAUAGUACUGCGACUAUAAUCUGGCUAAAAUGGACUGAUCAUUUCCCUCAUUCCAGAAACCUUUUUUAUUAAAUAAUAAUGUUGACAACAAUAGGUCUUGCACAUACUGCAUGGACGUACCUGUUAUCUGUCUUCUACUUUGUACUUAAUUUGUGUUGUUUUGUUACAGGGGACUAAGAUCAGGGCUGUCACCAUUUCAUUAGAUUUCUAGAUCCCCUCUUCUGGCACUAUUUGCUAUCUUUAGCUGUUUUUCACUCAUGAAUAUAAUCACCCAAUCUAUUUUCUUAUCAUAGUACUUGAUUAAAAACUGAGUAAGGUGGCCGGGUGCGGUGGCUCACACCUGUAAUCCCAGCACUUUGGGAAGCCGAGGCGGGCAGAUCAUGAGGUCAGGAGAUCGAGACCAUCCUGGCUAACACAGUGAAACCCCAUCUCAACUAAAAAUACAAAAAAUUAGCCGGUGUGGUGGCAGGCGCCUGUAGUCCCAGCUACUUGGGAGGCUGAGGCAGGAGAAUGGCAUGAACCCGGAAGGCGGCACUUGCAAGUGAGCCGAGAUCGCGCCACUGCACUCCAGCCUGGGGGACACAGCAAGACUCCGUCUCAAAAAGAGAAAAACAAAAAACAGACAAACAAAAAAAACCCACUGAGUAAGGCAAAUGCAAUAUGAAAAUCCUUCAACAGUAAUCUGAACCAUCUACCACCACUCAACAUCUCCAACCAAAUUAUCCCAAAACUACUCAGUCUACUCCCUUAUUAUAUCUAAUCAUUCCAUUUUUUAUUAAUAUCCCAUUUUAUCCCAUUUUUAGAACCUAGAGUUCCCUAAUAGUACUAGUAUCAAAUUGAAAAGCAAAAGAUUUUUUUCUGGUCCCCAUUUUUAAUCUUUCCCGGCUUCGACUCUCAUGUAUUACAUCUAGUUUUCCCUCUACAAAAAGUUGCAUUCUCUUACCUGUGUUCAGGUUCACACCCACGAGCUGAACUGAUUCUGAAUGUUCUUCUUAAAUUUUAACUAAUGUUUCCUGAAGGUCAGAACCAGAAUUCUGAGCAAGAACCUAAAGUAAACAAAUUUAAUUCUUGAGAAAACAGGAAGUAAGAAUUGAUAGUUAAAAAAAAAAAAAAA